UAUUCCUUAAAAAGGAAAAAGGCAUCAUUAGGGGCUUGGCUAAAACAUUAUCAGAGUUUGCAACGAAAGGCGUAACUGAAAUAAUCAGUGUUUACAGCGGAAAGCAUAACUGUGAUACAUGUAUGAAGACAUGUAUCCUUUCUGAGCCUACUUUAAGUUCGACAAAAACUCCACUCAGCAACACUUCAUCGCCCAUCACAGCUCAACCUGCACAAACAUAAACAUACGAAGGGCUGAGUACAAGAGUACUCAGUGGGCAGUGCCAAGCAUAUAACAUAAUAUCAACAACAAAACACAACUUCGCAUAAGAGGCAUAAGUUUCUUUCAAAUCCUUUGCUCAUUAAACAUUUCCAUAUUCAUAAACAGCAUGAGCGCAUUCUUCAUCAUUAACAAUCAUAAACAAGCAUCGUGUCGUGGAGAAGGCCUUCCCCAACGAACACGGGCAUCGCACCGUGAGAGGGGCCUCCCUCAGCGGUCACGGCAUCGUACUAUUGAGGGAGGCCUCCCCCAAUAGACGCUGUAACACUGGCAUACUGGCAUACUGGCAUCGCGCCGCGAGAGAGGCCUCUCUCAGCGGACACGGGCAUCGUGCCGUGAGGAGGCCUCUCACGGACACGGCAUCGUACUGUUGAGGGAGGCCUCCCCCAACAGACGCAAGCAUCAAACAUAAGCAUAAACUUAUCAGCGUAAGGCAUUCAAGCGUAAAUAAGCGUAAUCAAGCGUAAAUUACAUAGGGCGUAAAUAGUAUAAACAACAUAGCGUAAAUCAUUUAACGUGCAGCAUAAUAAAGCUUAACUCAUAUAAGCGUAAUAAAGCAUACCACACUUGAAGAUCCAAUUUGCAUUUUAAAGCAUAACACUUGCAUAGCAUUUUAUUUACGCGUAAGAAAUUGCCCACCUGAUAGCAAAGUUUUGC
rnacentral:lncRNA from 1 species